ensembl:lncRNA
CUGUGGGAGGCCAGUGUUUCCCACUGCUUCCUUUGAGGCCGUGCAAAUUACAGCUGGAUGCAAAAAGCUUCCAGGAAACCAGCACAGGGAAAGGCAGUGGAGUGGAGGGUGGUCAGGAUUUUGACUGCAUUGCUCAAAGCCGGAUUCACCGCUUAGCUGGGCCCAAAAGGUUCAGUUCCUGCCGGUCACUGAUACCCAGGAAGGGAGUCAUGGCUGAGACAGCCCCGGGGUGCUUAGUGCAUGGAAAAGCAGCGCCCUCGCCUGCCUUGCUUCUCCUGGCACCUUUAUGUCCCUCACCUUCGUGCCAGCCCGGUGCUCUUGGACCCCAUGGUGGAACAGUGCCAGCUCUGAGGAGAUCUCCCUUAGCUUGGAGGAUGGAGGGAGCCAAGGGACCUGCUCCGCUCGUAGCGCUAACGGGCACCUCUGGAUGCAGCUCUAACGAGGUGGAGCAUCCUUGUCAGCAGCUUCCCCUCUCCUCGGGUUUUUUCCAUUCCCCACCUCUCGCUACUAUCCCUGAGCUGUGUAACCCACAGACCCGAUGCCCCUGGGAACACACAGGAACACCCCUGCACGGGGCCUGCACCUCCUCUUCUCCCACGCGAUUGAAUGACAUGGGAUUUCCCCGUAGGCGUUGCAGGGUGAGAGGUUCACCUCUGCUAGGGCAGAGCUUUGUCCUAAGGUAAGGCUCUCCAGGGAAUAAGAUCUCUGUUCUCUUCCAUCCCUACGGUGCCUGCCACUGAUUAAAUUUUCAUCCCCACAGACUCCAGCUUGCUUAGGCAAGGAGACACUGCAAGAGCCCUCUGCGUGAUAAGGAAGUAUUCCUACUGGGGCUGUACUGGUGGGGAAAUCAAGGCGUUGAGAGAGGAAGUGACUUGCCCAUGGUCAUUCACGAGACUCCAGAGUCUCAGCACCAGGCCAAGUGCUGUAACCACUGCCUCCCUGACAAAAGGGGAAAAACUCCCUCGCGGGACAGCGUAAACCCUAACGUAGCUGCAGCAAAGCCUUUGGCUCCUGCUUCCUUCACUGAGGUGCUUCUGGCUGCCCAUAACACUGCUGGGGUCCCUGCGGGGGGAUGCAGGCGGUGCACAGCGGGGCAGUGUGUGUUUAAGAGCCCUCUGACCCUUGCACGCACGAAGGUCGGGAGGGUGGGAGGCUGCAGAAGGCCAGUCCCAAGGGGCUUACAUCACCCCUGAUCCCUGCAGCUCCUGGGCCUGGAGCAGGGCCGCUGAGGAGCUGUUUCUGAUUUAGGCACGUGGUAUCUCUGUUGAGGCGCAGCCAGCCCUCUUUCCUCAUGCGUCGCUGGCUCCCCAAGAGAAAUCUACAGGGCUGGGAAAGGUCACCCUGCCUGAACUAAUUGCAGCUGCCCUUGGAUGGGACUCUCUGGGCAAGGGAGAGCUUGCAUGAGGCAUCUGGAAGACGGAAAGGAGAGGAAAGCAGUAGCUUUCAGUCCCUUAUGCCUGUUCAUUCUCCUAAAUUCUGCUUGAUCCAGAGCCAAGAGUAGGGCCUUGGCAGAGUUUUUGAAGGGAACAAGGGAAGGAAACGAAGCCAGACAGCCACCAGGAGCAAAACAAAGGUUAGACACAGGAG